CGGGGGAGGCGGGAUCCUGGGCUGUGUCCCAGCGCCCUGUGCUCCGGGGCCUGCGCUGGUGGAUUCGCGCUCCCGCCCCGCAGCCCCCU
rnacentral:pre_miRNA from 1 species